GACGAACGCUGGCGGCGUGCCUAACACAUGCAAGUCGAGCGGUGGGAGUACUUCGGUACAAACCUAGCGGCGGACGGGUGAGUAACACGUGGGUAACCUGCCUCAAAGUGGGGGAUAGCCUUCCGAAAGGAAGAUUAAUACCGCAUAACCCAUAGCUUCCGCAUGGAAGCAAUGGUAAAGAUUUAUCGCUUUGAGAUGGACCCGCGGCGCAUUAGCUAGUUGGUGAGGUAACGGCUCACCAAGGCCACGAUGCGUAGCCGACCUGAGAGGGUGAUCGGCCACAUUGGAACUGAGACACGGUCCAGACUCCUACGGGAGGCAGCAGUGGGGAAUAUUGCACAAUGGGCGAAAGCCUGAUGCAGCAACGCCGCGUGAGUGAUGAAGGCCUUCGGGUUGUAAAGCUCUGUCUUUUGGGACGAUAAUGACGGUACCAAAGGAGGAAGCCACGGCUAACUACGUGCCAGCCGCCGCCGUAAAAC
rnacentral:rRNA from 1 species